GGGGCCGGGACAGGUGCGGCGGCGGCGGGCGGCAGCCGGACACGGCUCGCAGCAUCCCGGGCUCCGGCACUGGCUGCUUCAGACCUCCGCACCGACCCGCUGGGCAGCCCAGCCGGUCCGAGGUCCCCUAGCCCGCCCCAUGGCAAAACGGGCCGCUGCUGCCUUCCCUUCCAUGUAAAAUAGCGGGGUGCAUACCCCCCGAUAGAGCAGCCGGAGCGGCGGUGCCUCCAGGGCUGCCGACCCCGGUAGGGAACGGGAGCGGCCCCGGUGCGCCACAACCAUGGCUUUUGGCGCAUCAGGGAUUGUGUAACCACUGGCAAAAAAAAUUCUGCCAGCCGUGUUGGGCGAUGGCAGCUUGCUGAUCACUAUCCUGCUAUAGCUAGCAGCCCCGGGGGAGGGGGUUAAGAACACCCUGCUGCUGAACGAAAAUGUAAAUGUAUGCAAAUCCAUUGGAAUGCCCGGCUAUUGGAGAACAGUCUGAGAAUUGUGUCAUGAGACAGAUAAUGCUAAAUAUAACCUAGCACACGAUGGCAUCGUUUUGACAUUGUGAUUAUUUUGCAGCUGUCAAUUGCAAUGCGCAGAGCCAUUUUAUUUUUUAUGAGGGCUUUUUCAACGAGACAUUUCUCAUCUGGAAUCAAGUCACAAAAUUCCACAGGAAACUUUGUUGACAGGAGAAUUAUGUGUGUUUUUCUUGGGUCUCUUUUUGAGGUGUACAGAUGAAUCCAAGACUGUAGUAAGAAUCAGUUUAUAACAAAUGAAUGGGUAGCACGGCUGUUAGAGUUAAUAUGUAUCCAGUCAGGUAAAAAAUUGUGUAAUCCUACCUCUCUGCCCUGUCGGCCAAUUCAUGAGAUGAAGGGUAUGUAUCAAAGUGUCAGCAGUCUGAGAAUGACAGAACAUAAAUUCAAAUUAAAUAGAUUUUUUAAAAUUUCCUGUUAUUACGCUGAAGAGAGAAUUCAUUACUUCUGCUGAUCAGAAGGAAUAAGGACAGAUAAUUAUUUUACCUACCCUAGUCAGGAAAUUUUUUUUUUUUUAACAUUCCUUAGUCUAUAUAGACUGUGCCCAGUAUUUGGAAGCUGAUGGCAGACAAUGUAGUUCACAGAAAAACCUCUUAGGAAGAGCUCAGCCAUGGAGCACCACACCCUGUGUUGCUCAGUCUUAGGAUACAUCAGUAUACAUCAACAUUUGUUUUAUAACCUUUUUGAAUAAUCCUUUCUCACACAGAGUUCGGAUUCCAUAAUUCUUUUUUGGAUCAUAUUUUAGCAGCACUUUACAUCAAUUUACCUAAUGGUUUUUAUAGCACCUCCUCGCCAGAUGUCAUCUGGGAGUGUUCCUGGCUCUUCUAGAGACAGCAUGAUGAUCUAUCUCCUUGCUGGUGUUGCUGCUUUUGGUGGUUUAUUUUAUGCCUACAGAGUAGUCAGUUCAUCCCGCAGCAAGUUUGUUGAACAUUCAAGUAUUCUUCGUGAGAGAACCGAGGGGCAGAACAGCAAUCCUUGGUCAAGGAAGGACACAAGGGAAAUCUCUUUCCAAACCUGAGGAAGUUAAAUACAAACAAAGGACAAUCGUUUACCAUUAAGUACAUUGCAGCCUACCUUGGGAUGACUUUGUGCCUUCUAUUGUAAAGCCCCAAUUGUUUUCUGAGGAGGAGAAGACAACUGAAGAAGUUGCUAAAGAGCCCUAAAGUAAGCAGAGUGGACACCUUUGGAAAGUUUAAUGCAAAUAUUUGUGGCAAUCAACCAGCUGAUUCCGGUGUGAAACCUCAUACUCUUCCUUGAAGACAUAAAAGAAACUCUGCAGUUUGUCCCACCCACACAUUGGCCAUUAUGGCCAGUAUUCAGUGCUGCAAGAGAUGAUUUGCAUUGCCUAGAGAAAUGCUUCUGUGACUAACAACUCUGCUGUAGAGAGUAGCUUCCAGUCAAGCCACUCAGCAUGUCCUAAAUACAUGUGCUAAGAGAAGCAGUAGACUUAACUAAACCAUGCCAUAUGAACUCCUUCUAUGUCAUUGUUGUCCUGAUAUGUACAUUGAUUCCUUACUUUUGGUCCAAACUAUUGUGUGUAGUUAUACCUUUGUAACAUUCCAUGCUAAAAUGUAAACAAAAGGUUUUAAAAUCAAGUCAAAAUAUUACAAAACUACAUGUUAGCAUUUUAAAAUUGGAUCACAGGGAAAAUAACAACGUGUUUGCUCCUGAGUUUGGAUUUGUGAUUGUAAGCAUAAGACAUCUGGCUGUGCAUGACCUAAUUUUCCCCCUGCAUAAAUAUUUCAGAUGAUACCACUCCUUGCACAGUAACAUCUAGGAGUAAACAUUUUAAGGCUCCUGCUUCGGGAAGAAAACCUGUUUGCAGGUAGUAGCCAUAGGUACUUUAUAAGUGGUGGCUGGCUCCUGCCUUGGGUGUGCUGGGCUCUGCUCCUCCCAAAUCUCGUUCAGCUUGCUGUGGUCUUUCUGUGUUGCUCUGUCUUGGCAGUGGCAUAUACUGGUAGUGUAACAACACAAAAGUUUGGUAGAAGCUUUCAAACUGGUACAAAUUACAAGCCCUUUAGGCCAUGGCAAAGCCUGUCUCUAACCACUUGCACACAGAGAGCAAAAUCCCUGUGAAGGGCUAUUCAACAGGUGUUCAAAUGGACAGGCAUUCUUAGGGACUAAGAAAGAACCAAACAGCUAAAUGGCCUUGUUUUCUCAGUAUUAGCUUCACAAAAAUUACAUUUAUUAUGAAUAACAGGUUUGAAUGCCACUGUGCUCCCAACCUUCAUGUGCUACAUGCAUGAGCAUGCAUCUGAGACCCCAUUUCAGCCAUCACAGAAUGGCAAUGAUUCUAAACCAGAGCCAAAUAAGGUAUAUUAUGUACUAUUUAUAUAGAAAGUGUGUUGCAUAAGGUGUGUCUGACUCUUUUCUCUUCAAGAAGAAGUUUGGAAAAUGUUGAAAGGGAAACGACAGCAUUAAUGACAUUCCUACCCACAGCACAAAGCAACACAUGCUCCUUCCCCCAUCAUAAAGCAAAUUAUAAUAGUGUUCCAACAAAGAUAUAGCCUGUUGCUCCUGGAUCUACUUAGGAAUAACUGGAAUAAUGCAAAGGCAAAAGCAGGCUCCUGAGCUUCAAGAAGACAAACCACAGCCUUCUGCUUAAAGGAUAAAGCCUCUGUGAUUAAAAGCAGUUUUUGUAGACCAAGCUACUGGAAUAAAAAUCUUAGACUAAUAUUUUGUUGGAUAAGAGUCUAUAUUUAUCUUGUAGAUUAAAAAUGCUGUGAUGGAUGUAUGCACUUAAAUUUUCUAUUUCUUCAUUUUCACAAAUUACUAGUAAAAGAAGCUAUUUUAACUGCAUCUAACAGUAGUUUCUCAAAUGGUAGGCUUUUCUGAAUGGCUCUUUAUCUCUGGAACUGCUCUGGUACAUGGCAAAAUAUGUUAGCCCCCUGGAACAGCUGCCUUAAUGACUGAAUCACAAACUAUGGUUUCCAAAAUGUAGGGUUUUUUCAUCCUUUCACUUUCAAAAAAUUGUGAGAAUCCCAAAACAGCCUGUAGAUGUGCUUUAUGCCAGAGUUCUUCUUUUUUUGCUUUUGUAUUGUUUAGGUUUUCUUAAUUAAAAAAAAAAAAAAAAAAAAAAAAAAGGCAUGCAGCACAGCACAGUCUGCUUCAGCACUUAAAUAUCUUAGAGUAACAACAGUGAUAUUUUGCAAUUCGCAGAGGUCUGGCCAUUGUUGACUCAGUCUUGUUAGUAUGGAGUCUGAAUACCAUAUAAAUUAAAAUUUUCCUGUCCUUCACUUUCAAAAAGAGAAUUUUUGAGUUGCUACACAAAAGCUGUGAUGAACCAUGGAAAAUGUUGAAAGAUAAUUUUGAGAUGGAUCAUUAAGGAGAGCAAUGCCACAGCAGAGAAUAGACAUAAUGCAAGACUAAAGGAGAUCAGAGGAAAGGUUUGGUCUUGAAAAUACACCUCACAGGCCAGAGCAAAGCUUAAGAUUCCAGAAUUUAUCCAAACUGCACAUUGCUCCUUUGCUGUCAGCAGUUAUCUGUGAAAACAGCUGGCAAGGAUUUUCACCUCCCUCCAGUGCCAUUUAGUCCCUCUAGUUCACCUCUCUGAAGGGUGACAGCCUGUUGCUGCUGGCAGCUGUUCACAAAGCUGAAAAUUCUGCAGAUGAUGAAGUCCAUCUAACAAUUUCAGGUUUACUUUUUUGCCUGUGUUGAUGUAGGUACAGAAUUUCAAUUUUAUUUUCAUUUCCUUCUUCAAAACAUAAGACAAUUGCAACUAAAAAUCAUAAUUCAAACUGCAAGCUGGUACUCAGCACUUGGAAAAUCAGAGUGAAAUACUUCAAUCAAGAUUUCUUAUGUCUGUGCAACAGGCUUUGAUGUUGUGAUACUACUUUUUAAAAUCUGUUUUUCUGGGAAAGAAAAAAACCACAAAAAACUCAAAACAAAGACAAAGAAUUCCAACCCAGAGAAGAAUGUGCCGUGAUUCUUUUACCCACCUGGUGAGCUGUUUCUGUCAAAAAAUUUGAGCCAAUUAGCCACCCCAACUUCUGCUUUACCAGGCAUAUGGGAGAAACACACAGUUCCAGCUGAGUGAUGGAUGAAGAAAUUAGUAGCUAAACUAAGUUACUUGUAAUGCUUGGCAGCGUAUAAGCAAAUAUAUGAUGCAGCUCUACAGUACUUUUGUGGCUGCAAUCACUGAGUGUAGGUGCUGUUUUCUCCCUGUGGGUGGUUAGCAAAGAGUGAGAGGAGAGCUGAGAGGACAGAGGCAUAUAGAGGAUGAGGGGACAAACAAGGACAGAAGGAAUUUUAUGUUAAAGGACAUUGGAGCUCGCUUUGUGUGUUGCCCAUGGGUUGGCACAUUUCAGUGGAGUGCCAUCCCUGCUGUGACACAGAUAAUUCUGUUCUUCAGAAAGGCAUUACUUGGUUGUGUGCUUUUCUUGUCCUGCUCACCUGCUGCAGAAAAUGGAGGCUGUGAAGGCAUCACCAUGGGUAAUUGGAUCCUCCUGCAUUCUGGGUGUUACUCCUUUAUUUGGGAUGUUGCAGGAGAUUUUGCCUCUUCCAGCUUUACUGGAGGGGGAAAAGGACUAAAACUGUAGGUUUCUAUGCUGGAGUUAUUCCUGCUACUUGCUUGAACUACAGGUAAUUAAACAGUUUGUUGAAACAGCA